rnacentral:rRNA from 1 species
UACGAAGGGGGCUAGCGUUGCUCGGAAUCACUGGGCGUAAAGCGCACGUAGGCGGAUCUUUAAGUCAGGGGUGAAAUCCCGAGGCUCAACCUCGGAACUGCCUUUGAUACUGGGGAUCUCGAGUCCGGAAGAGGUUGGUGGAACUCCGAGUGUAGAGGUGAAAUUCGUAGAUAUUCGGAAGAACACCAGUGGCUAAGGCGGCCAACUGGUCCGGUACUGACGCUGAGGUGCGAAAGCGUGGGGAGCAAACAGG